rnacentral:misc_RNA from 1 species
UUUCUCCUUUCUUUCGCCCCUCUAAGAUAUCAUCAUUUUCCCAUUAGAAAGGAAAAUUUCGAAAUCAAAAGACAACUGGAACAGAUCAGCGUUUUGAGAUCCUUUGCGCAACGACACACGAUGAAACGGUAGAAAAGUUGUGACUGUCGAUAACGAUAUUUAAAGAAAGCAGAUUCCCACGUCUGAGCAAUUGAUAGCAUCAAAAAGGGGAAGUAUAUAAAGGUAAGAAUCGAUCGACUUUCGACCAUCAGUUUGCUAAAUAGAUCCCCUUUCGAUCGCCCCACAUGCAGCAAUCCAAAGUCAACAGCUACUAUGCAAAUCUUGUUGCAGGUUAUUUUCGCCCUAAUCGGAUUGACGGUCAAUGUCGGUUCUGCUCGAACGCCGACAGACUGGGCCAACAACAAGCCCAUCGUUUCCUUCCAUUGCUGCAAUCACGCCAGGGGACAGUUCCAGACCAACAAGCAGUUGAAGGACGUUCUGGCCCGUGUGCCUCGACUGGGCAGUGCAUUCACCUCAACAUGCCUGAAAGAAUUGAGAGAAACGAAGGAGCAAUUGAAACAAACCCCGAACCUCUCGACGAGAAUGAACGUUGUCGUUGAAAAUGCAACGGAAUCAUUUAGUGUUGCCACUUUAGAUGUAGAAAACGAUCAGGUUAAAACAGCAAAAUUUCCUAAAAAAAUAGAAAUAGAAGAUUCCAAAGUGGAUUAAACGUUUUGGACAGAAAAGUCUUGUUUGCGAUUUAGGAGAACAGUGGAUGACACAAUUAGAAGUGUUUCAGCACAUUACAGUUUUCACAUACCAGUUUUAAAAUCUUUGAUACUACUGGAGAUAGAAAUUUUUAGACUCAUUGGGUAAAAUUUGUACCACCAUUACUGUAAGAUUCCUUGAAUUUUAAUCCAACAAUUAGAUUCUUCAAUCCCAACUUAUUCUGUUUUCUUUUAAUGAACACUUUGACUAUUGUUCAAGCUGUAACGGGUUCUUCAUACUCUACACGAAAUAUGACGGUUUUGUGCCGAAAUGUGGAAAUAUUACAAGCAACGAGACUGGUAUACUCAUA